rnacentral:rRNA from 1 species
UGAAUCUGGCUCCUUCGGAGUCCGAGUUGUAAUUUGUAGAAGAUGCUUUGGGUUGUGGGUUCGGCCUAAGUUCCUUGGAACAGGACGUCAUAGAGGGUGAGAAUCCCGUACGUGGCCGAGGCCUGCGCCUAUGUAAAGCUCUUUCGACGAGUCGAGUUGUUUGGGAAUGCAGCUCAAAAUGGGUGGUAAAUUUCAUCUAAAGCUAAAUAUGGGCCAGAGACCGAUAGCGCACAAGUAGAGUGAUCGAAAGAUGAAAAGCACUUUGGAAAGAGAGUUAAACAGUACGUGAAAUUGUUGAAAGGGAAGCGCUUGCAACCAGACUUGGGCGCUGCCGAUCACCCUGAGUUUUCUCAGGUGCACUCGACAGCGCACAGGCCAGCAUCGGUUCGGGUGGCUGGAUAAAGGCCGUAGGAACGUAGCUCCUCUCGGGGAGUGUUAUAGCCUACGGUGCCAUGCAGCCCAGCCGGACCGAGGACCGCGCCUUCGGGCUAGGAUGCUGGCGUAAUGGUUGUAAGCGACCCGUCUUGAAACACGGACCAAGGAGUCUAACAUCUAUGCGAGUGUUUGGGCGUUAAACCCAUACGCGGAAUGAAAGUGAACGUAGUGAGAACCCCUUUGGGGGUGCAUCAUCGACCGAUCCUGAUGUCUUCGGAUGGAUUUGAGUAAGAGCAUA